GGCCUCUCGGCGGCCCGGCCGGUGCGCCCGCCCGGGAGGACGCGGGUCCUGUGGCCCCCGCAGGAUGGAGGGAGCCGCGACGCCAAGGUGAAGAAACUGAAUCCCAGCGUGGUGCCAAGUGGCAAUAGUGAAUGAUAGGAAGGCAUCCAGUCCAGAUCCUGACUGAGCAUCUAGUUUGUGUGAG